AAAAAAAGACACCCUGGUUUCCGUGCCCAACAUUUGACCGUCCGUUUUAUUUGAAAAAAUUAUGAAAAAAAUUAAAAAGACAAGUCACGCAUAAAAUAUUAAUCAUGUUUUAUCAUCUAACAAUAAUAAAAAUACAAAUUAUAAAAAAAAUUAUAUAAGACGGAUAGUCAAAAUUAGACACGAAAACUCAGGGUUUGCCUUUUU
rnacentral:pre_miRNA from 1 species